CUCAGUGGUGUUUGUAUACUUACUGUUCUGAUUUUUAAUUGCUGAAUCUUUUGACUCUUAUUAUUGUGUAAUGAUCUCCUAUUUGCCCCCACAUUCUGGCUAUUAAGUAAUGAGAGAAGACUUGAAAAGAUGCAUGUGUUUACAGGACAGCUAUAACAAUAUACACUAUGUGGCCAAAAGUAUAGAGUGUACAGACACAUGACAAAGACAC